GACGUAGGGCGCAAGCGUUGUCCGGAUUUAUUGGGCGUAAAGAGCUCGUAGGCGGCCUGUCGCGUCGACCGUGAAAACCCGCAGCUCAACUGCGGGCUUGCGGUCGAUACGGGCAGGCUUGAGUUCGGUAGGGGAGAGUGGAAUUCCUGGUGUAGCGGUGAAAUGCGCAGAUAUCAGGAGGAACACCGGUGGCGAAGGCGGGUCGCUGGGCCGAUACUGACGCUGAGGAGCGAAAGCGUGGGGAGCGAACAGG
rnacentral:rRNA from 1 species